rnacentral:rRNA from 1 species
CCUACGGGGGGCUGCAGUGAGGAAUAUUGGUCAAUGGUCGGGAGACUGAACCAGCCAAGCCGCGUGAGGGAUGAAGGUACAGAGUAUCGUAAACCUCUUUUGUCAGGGAACAAAGGCGGGGACGUGUCCCCGGAUGAGUGUACCUGAAGAAAAAGCAUCGGCUAACUCCGUGCCAGCAGCCGCGGUAAUACGGAGGAUGCGAGCGUUAUCCGGAUUUAUUGGGUUUAAAGGGUGCGCAGGCGGUCUGUUAAGUCAGCGGUCAAAGCCCGGGGCUCAACCCCGGCCCGCCGUUGAAACUGGCAGUCGCGAGUUGGAGAGAGGUAUGCGGAAUGCGCGGUGUAGCGGUGAAAUGCAUAGAUAGCGCGCAGAACUCCGAUUGCGAAGGCAGCAUGCCGGCUCCACACUGACGCUGAGGCACGAAAGCGUGGGUAUCGAACAGGAUUAGAUACCCGUGUAGUC